rnacentral:lncRNA from 1 species
AGUGUUGGUAUUGUUACUAUUCAUGGUGUCAGCAAGUUUCGAAAGUGAUGUCGAUAGUUCAGAUAUUUUUGAAGACAAGUCAUACGCUAUUUGCAAAUAUGGCGAAAUGCAAUGUGGAGAGAGUUGUCGAAACAUGAAAAAAGAAAUUUGUUGCAACGGAAUUCCAAAACCAUACCUUUACUAUGGAAGAUGUGGUUUAAAAGAUUGCAUAAACUGGCACAAAGAAAUUUGCUGUGAUGGCGUUGCUAGACCAAAGAAAGAAUA